ACAGCACAAAACAAAUCAGGAAAUGAACGCGGAACUAGAGGAAUCCGAAAAGGAAAUGGACUUUGUGCGUAGUACCAAACCAUAGUGAAUCAAUUUUAAAGCUGAAGUGCUGGGCUUAUAAGAUCCGGAUUGAAUGGAAUCAAUUCCACCCACAAAACGAUGGCAUUCUUGUCUUGACGAAGGAACCAAAUGUUUGAAGAAUGAAUGCGUUUUUUUCGGAAAAGCUGAUGCGACGAUGAUAUGCUUUAUUCCGCAAAAUCCACUUUACUGCCCUAAAUCAACUAUGGUAAAUAUGCGCUAUACUGAGAUGUUAAAUAGUACAGAUAUAUCAAACGACGUCAGCUGAUCCGCCAUUCUGCAGCCGGAGCAACAUUAGAUAGAAACAUCCACUUGAAAGAAUAAAUAACGAU